rnacentral:ncRNA from 1 species
AUGGCUAAAUGACUGAAAAGGGAAUCUGGUGGGAAUCCAGAACUGACGCGCAGCGGUAAGAGAGAACGAACACUCAGUGACACUGCGAUCGCGGGAAGUCGAGUUAGUAGGAGACAGUGCUCUCAAGUCCGAAGACCUGCCAGCGGCU